CUCUGGUUAGGUUUAUACAUGAAAACCAUUUUGUGAUGUUUUAACUUUGUGAUUGGGCUUAAAAUGACGGAUUUGGUCGGUACAGUCACGGAUGGAGACGGUCCGAAAUCACCUUGUUGGCCCGUAAUAACACCACCUCCAUGUGCCCCAUGUCCACGAUUCUAAAGGUGAGCCUGCUUAGGCUGAUUGAGGAGUCAAUAAAGAGGGGGAGGGGAGCCUGAUCUCUUUUCUGUUCCUGGCCUGAAAACAGCAACAGCACCACAUGUAGCUUUGAUUGUUUGUUCUUUUACCUUUUCAGGUGGAUCUGGUGGUUCAGUUUUGUGGCACUAUUUCUGUUGUAGGGUUUAGUUGGGGGAAUGUUUGGUUAGGGUUGAGGGAAGAGCCCGGUUUCGACGGCCCUGUAAGGGUUGGACUGAGGUGGCUUCUCUUCUUUUUGUUCUUUUUUUUGCCGGCCCAUCGGUUUGAUGUUAGCUGGGGAGGCUGUGGGGUUAGUUACGUUUGUCUGUUGAAAUAAAAUUCUUCUAUUUUGGACCUCUUGACUUCUGUAACUAUGUCAGACUUCUUUGGGACACAAACUUUCUUUCGGGGUUGUGACAGAAGCAUGUAAUGCAAAGGUGAUAUGGCACGUUCGCUACAAAUGGCAACUUGGACAAAUCUGUGGUUUGCAGAGAAGGUUAACUUAUCCUGGUGAAGUGGCUUCUUUUAGAUAUAUUAAAAAUAUUAGAUGGGUAAAUAUGAUAUUAAAUAUUAGUUUUGUAAUAUUUGUGGGAAAUAUACAGCUGUAAUUUAAGUGUUGGGUGGUUCCUUUUUCAAGCCCUCGGGACCUGUUUUUGUCCUAACUGUGCAUUAUGUUAUUGCACAUUUUCUUUUUUGUUUUAUCUGAUUUAUAUGCACAAAAAUAAAGAGUAACAACUAAAAAGAAUACUUUUGAAAAAAAUGACUCUUUGUCCGGUCUGUCAAAUUAAGUGAAACUGGACAGACAUGGAAGAGCUCCGUCAUUUCACUCCGCAAUUUCAUAAUCAGGCUCGGCUAUGUUACUCAGCUUCCUUCCAUCAUCCUCACACAUUUUGGUCUCAGGAUUACACACUUGCAUACAAACAGACACACACACACACAUUAAACUGACUGAAUGAAAACACACGUAUCAAGCAACAUAUCCUUUUGUUUCACACUGUAUCUUUGUAUGUCUCCGUCUUGCAUCAGUGGAUACUGUGAAGGAUGAG